UACAGAGACUGCAAGCGUUAUUCGGAUUCACUGGGCGUAAAGGGUGCGCAGGCGGCCGUGUGUGUGAGGCGUGAAAGCCCGGGGCUUAACCCCGGAAUUGCACCUGAAACUACAUGGCUAGAGCAUUGGAGAGGGUAGCGGAAUUCACGGUGUAGCAGUGAAAUGCGUAGAUAUCGUGAGGAACACCAGAGGCGAAGGCGGCUACCUGGACAAUUGCUGACGCUCAGGCACGAAAGCGUGGGGAGCAAAAGGG
rnacentral:rRNA from 1 species